AGAGGCAUGAACCGUAACAGGAACAUGGCUCUCUCCUUUGUUUUUGCANCAUUCCGAACAGAGCAGUUAAGCCCGAUCACGCCGAUGGUACUAUGCAAAUGGGAGAGUAGGUAGCCGCCACUU
rnacentral:rRNA from 1 species